AUGAGUACCAUAAAGCGAAAACCGUGGCUAUUCGUCUAGUGUGAAGUGUCUAAUCUACUCAACAUCGCAAACCGAACGCUCUCGCGGAAAGCUCCGAUAAGAUAAGAGCGAUUGCAUAAAAGCCAAAGACAUUACAAUGUUCCUGAACAUGGAUUUAUGGACGUGCAGAAUUAUGAAACAAAGGAUCUAUGAGCUCUGUGCAUAUCGCCGUGAAUAACUUACCCAU